rnacentral:rRNA from 1 species
CAGUAGCCGCGGGAAUACGAAGGGGGCUAGCGUUGCUCGGAAUGACUGGGCGUAAAGGGCGCGUAGGCGGAUUGUACAGUCAGACGUGAAAUUCCUGGGCUCAACCUGGGGACUGCGUUUGAGACGUGCGAUCUAGAGUUUGGAAGAGGGUCGUGGAAUUCCCAGUGUAGAGGUGAAAUUCGUAGAUAUUCGGAGGAACACCAGUGGCGAAGGCGGCUCACUGGUCCAUUACUGACGCUGAGGUGCGAAAGCGUGGGGAGCAAACAGGAUUAGAGACCCCUGUAGUCCCUGUCUCUUAUAC